UCCGUAGGCAGCAAGCGUUGUUCGGAGUUACUGGGCGUAAAGAGUGCGUAGGCGGUCCUGUAAGUUUGGUGUGAAAUCUCCCGGCUCAACUGGGAGGGUGCGCCGAAGACUGCAGGGCUUGAGUAUGGGAGAGGUAAGCGGAAUUCCUGGUGUAGCGGUGAAAUGCGUAGAUAUCAGGAGGAACACCUGUGGUGUAGACAGCUUACUGGACCAUAACUGACGCUGAGGCACGAAAGCGUGGGUAGCAAACAGG
rnacentral:rRNA from 1 species